rnacentral:rRNA from 1 species
CCUACGGGAGGCAGCAGUGGGGAAUAUUGCACAAUGGGGGAAACCCUGAUGCAGCAACGCCGCGUGAAGGAAGACGGUUUUCGGAUUGUAAACUUCUAUCAAUAGGGAAGAAAGACAUGACGGUCCCUAACUACGAAGCCCCGGCUAACUACGUGCCAGCAGCCGCGGUAAUACGUAGGGGGCAAGCGUUAUCCGGAAUUACUGGGUGUAAAGGGAGAGUAGGCGGCAAGGUAAGCGAUAUGUGAAAGCCUUAAGCUUAACUUAAGGAUGGCAUAACGAACUAUCUAGCUAGAGUACAGGAGAGGAAAGCGGAAUUCCUAGUGUAGCGGUGAAAUGCGUAGAUAUUAGGAAGAACACCAGUGGCGAAGGCGGCUUUCUGGACUGAAACUGACGCUGAGGCUCGAAAGCGUGGGGAGCGAACAGGAUUAGAUACCCCUGUAGUC